rnacentral:rRNA from 1 species
CACAGCGAAAGUUGUACUAAUACCGCAUAAGACCACGUUGGGACAUCCCAAAGGGGUCAAAGGAGCAAUCCGGUGAAGGGUGGGCUCGCGUCCGAUUAGAUAGUUGGUGAGGUAACGGCCCACCAAGUCGACGAUCGGUAGCCGACCUGAGAGGGUGAUCGGCCACAUUGGGACUGAGACACGGCCCAAACUCCUACGGGAGGCAGCAGUGGGGAAUAUUGGGCAAUGGGGGAAACCCUGACCCAGCAACGCCGCGUGAGGGAAGAAGGUUUUCGGAUCGUAAACCUCUGUCCUUGGUGAAGAGGAAGAGACGGUAGCCAAGGAGGAAGCCCCGGCUAACUACGUGCCAGCAGCCGCGGUAAUACGUAGGGGGCGAGCGUUGUCCGGAAUGAUUGGGCGUAAAGGGCGCGUAGGCGGCCCGGUAAGUCUGGAGUGAAAGUCCUGCUUUUAAGGUGGGAAUUGCUUUGGAUACUGUCGGGCUUGAGUGCAGGAGAGGUAAGUGGAAUUCCCAGUGUAGCGGUGAAAUGCGUAGAGAUUGGGAGGAACACCAGUGGCGAAGGCGACUUACUGGACUGUAACUGACGCUGAGGCGCGAAAGUGUGGGGAGCAAACAGGAUUAGAUACCCUGGUAGUCCACACUGUAAACGAUGAAUGCUAGGUGUAGGGGGUAUCGACCCCUUCUGUGCCGCAGUUAACACAA